CGGGUAGGGCUGGGUGAGAAUCGGAAGCUCCCGGCCGGGUAGGGAAGAGGGAGCCGGGAACCCGGCAGAGGAGGGCCUGGAAAGCUAUUGUGAAUCCCUGCUGAGGGAGGCCGGGCUAAGAAGGGCUGAAGCCGUGCGGAGAGAGUUUGUGCAGCAGAGGGCCCAGGCGAGACGUUCACUGAGGCUUGUAUGUGCGGGACCCCAGCAAUAUUCACAAUAGCCAAGACAUGGAAACAACCUGUGUCCACCGACAGGUGAAUGGGUAAAGAAAAUGUGUGUGUACACACACACACACACACACACACUGGAGCAUUAUUCAGCCUUAAAGAAGGAAAUCCUGCCAUUUGUGACAACGUGGAAAGACACUGAGGACAUUAUGCCACGUAAAGCACCAAAGGCACGGAAGGAAUCUAUGGUUGAAAGAGCCUACUUUCUAUACACAGUAAAGCACUGGAGAAGAGACAGGACAAGAGGAACAGGUCCAUGGUGAUAGGAGCCUAGGAACAGACCUGGCCUUGAACCUCGGCCUAACAGAUGUAAAGUUCCCUGCCUGAUCAGCCCUCACUCAACUGAGCUCUGUCUUCUUGACAACCCUCUCAGCUUUUUCCAUUUCUCCAGUAAGGUGGUCACGCUGCCUAUAAGAAAUAAAUACGAAAUAUUGUAUAAAAGUAUUUAUAAGAAUUAAAACCAAUUCUGUAAAACACUUUGAAUAUUAAAUUUCUAAUGACAUGUAAGCAAAAAUAAUAUUGGUGAAGACUUCAGAGAAGGUAGAGGGAUUGAGAGAACAUCCACCUUAGGGUGACCAAAGAAAGAAUAGAGAGAUGAGAGAGGUAAGAAAGUCUUAUUUAAACCUAUCCUGGGGACUUCCCUGGUGGUCCAGUAAUUAAGACUCCAUGCUCCCAAUGCAGGCAGCCCAGGUUCAAUCCCUGGUCAGGGAAUUAGAUCCCACAGGCCCAAACGAAGGUCCUGUGUGCUGCAACUCAGACCCAGAGCAGCCAAAUAAUUAGUUUUAAAAAACACACCUAAUACUAGCUCUCUGUAUUAAAAGGCAAUAUAGUAUAACAGUUAAUGAGAACUAUGUUGGCUAUGAUUACUGUAUUUUUGUUUGUUAUUUGCUAAGAGGAAAAAUGGAGCUUCCUGAAACAUUCACAGGUUCUUUCUAGAAUGCUAGACAAAUGCUGAUAAAUGCAAAGUUCAUGGAUUAUCCUUUUCAAUGACAAUGUAGGUCAAGUAAAACAAUUUUUGUUAUAAGAAAUGAAUAUGUUCACUUCAUCUAAAAUAUUUUCUUGAUUCCAUCACCGUAUAAAUUGUGGAGGUUACUUUGAUAAUCAGUACAAAUCAGGAUUUUUUCCAUCUGUUCUCUCCAAAGGUGGGUCAGAAAAUAACAUACAGCAUCUUUACCAAUUCUGAGUUCAGAUACAAUAUAACACCUGGUUUCUUUGGCAAUAGAUAUGUCUUAAAUGUCCCACAAAUCUCAUCUAGCUCCAUGGGUAUCAAAGAAGGUAGAAAUUAUAUGAAGGGGCUGAGAAAAGUCUGCAUAUCAUGAAGAAUGAUUGAUUAUCAUGAAGAAUGGUGAGGUGUCAUCUGCAACACAACAAAAUUUAACCCAUUCAUUUGAAAACAGGGUAAAAAAAAUCACUUAGUUUCUUAAAAGACAGGCUUGAUAUCCCAGAGAGAAUAUUUAAAUUAUUUGAGGCAGAUAGCUUACCCAGUGAGACCAAGUUGCUGUUUUCCAUCAUCACAUCCCAGUACAGUUCCCUCAGAGCAGAACCCAUAUUCCCAUUCCUCUUGAGUGAACUCUAGGGCCACUUUCCUGAAUGUUACACAUUCCUAAAAGCACAAACCCAAGCAUUACUGGUGAAAUUCAAGAAGUGUUUUCAAAAUAAAAAAAGAGUCAAUAAAGGUUUGAAAUCCAAGAAGGGGGCUAUAUACCAAGCCAAUAGGCUGUCGCUGAAUGUCUAUGGUAAGAGAAGUUAAGGAAAUCAGUGUUUCAGAAACAGAUUGUACACAUUUUUUUUAAAGAAAUCUAGUUGAUUUAUGGGGAUGUAAAUUCAUACAGCCACUAUGGAGAACAGUAUGGAGGUUCCUUGCAAAACCAAAAAUAGAGUUGCCAUAUGACCCAGCAAUCCCACUGCUGGGCAUAUACCCAGAGAACAGCAUAAUGCAGAAAGACACAUGCACUCCAAUGUUCAUUGCAGCGCUAUUUACAAUAGCCAGGACAUGGAAGCAACCUAAAUGUCCAUCAACAGAUGAAUGGAUAAAAAAGAUGUGGUACAUAUAUGCAAUGGAGUAUUACUCAGCUGUAAAAAGCAAGGAAACUGGGACAUUUCUAGAGACAUGGAUGGACUUGGAGACUGUCAUACAGAGUGAAGUGCAUCAGAAAGAGAAAAACAAAUACCGUAUAUUAACACAUAUAUGCGGACUAUAGAAAAAGGGUACAAAUCAACUGGUUUGCAAGGCGGAAAUAGAGACACAGAUGUAGAGAACAAACAUGGACACCAAGUGGGGAAAGCGGGGAGGGUUGGGGGAGAAUGAAUUGGGAGAUUGGGAUACCAAA